CAGCACCCAUCUUUGAGUCAGAGUUUGAGAUGCAAAUCCUUUACUGUAUAGCCUUGAUCAAAUGACUUCACCUCAUUGAAUUAAUCUUCUUCUGCAUAAAAUGGGGUCACCAUCUGCUUAUCUAAAUUGUUACAAAUGGGACAGUAUAUGUGCCAUUCCAGAUACCUAAUCACAGCUCAAUCGAUGCUGGUGUCUUUUUCCUUUUUCCUUCUGCAGAAAACAUGCUUUACAUAGGAUCUCUGAACUUAAAGAAUGGGAAGAAGAAAAAUCAUGUUUCCAGCUUGGGCUGCUGUUUCAUCUGUUGGACUUGAUCCCUGAAUGGAAAGGAAUGCUAUGCACACUUUUUGGAUACAGGAAGUGAGAUUCAGAGGGGUUAAACAGCUUUCCUAAAGCCACACAGCGAGAGAGUCGAUCUGAACUGAAGAUUGUUUGACAUCAAAGCUCAUUUCUUU
rnacentral:lncRNA from 10 species